CUCCUCUUGUGGCACCAAGUUCUCAAAAAGGGGGUUUUACAACAUGUAACUAUGCACAAUAUUUUGAUACAUGGGCUUUGUUCUGUGGGUAAAGUUAAAGAUGCUUUGUUACUCUAUUUUGACAUGGAUCAGCAGAGUUGUGUUCCAAAUCUUUUUACCCACAACACCUCAUGGAACGGCUUCACAAUACCAAAGAUAGUAAAAAAGACAAUAGAGAUUUGGUAUUGCCUUUUGGUGAAUGAGUUGCAACCAGAUAUUAUCUCCUAUAAUAUCACUUUCAAGGUGCUCUAUUCAUGCAAUAAAAAUGUCAGAUGCCAUAAGGUUCUCGGAUGAUGCUUUAGCUUGAUUUUCUAUUGUGAAAUUUGCAACCUUGUUAUCCUUGAGGACAAGGAUUCUUUCAAAAGGGGAGUAGUUGAUAGGAACCUAUAUGUAAAUCAAUGUUUGUUUAUCCAACAAUUAAGCAUUCUGUUAAACUUAACAGAAUAUGGGUUUAGGAGCUAACGUCCGUUAGUUGAGUCGGUUCUCCCUGUUGUUAUAAGAAAUAGUUCAACUUUGUAACAACUAGUCUGGUUAAUGAAUUGAUAUGAAAUGAAGAUUACUCUUCACGUGUGUUCUUGUUUCUCUACUCUGUAAUUCUUCUUCUUCCAUUCCUCUUUGCAUUUGGUUAAGGUUUGAAAGGGGUUCUGAUGUAGGAUUAUCCCACAUUGUUAAAAUCGGAGUCUCAAGUCCAACUUAUAAGGGCGGGCAAUCCUCUCUCUGUCAACCAUGGUUUUCAGUUAUGAGUUAGGCCCAAACUUAUAUUAUUUGUUUUUCAGGCUAGACUGGUCUCUUUUGCCCAUAUGUGUUGUUUGGGUGUAAUGUCUAUUAGUUAGUCAUUGGAAUUGUGGAGUUAGCGUAGAAAUGAUAUGUCUGCUCCUCAGAAUUUUUGUUUUGUUGGCCGUCUAAUUUUCUUUUCAUUUUAAGUACGAUAAUCAGUUCUGUGAGGUAUGUUUUGAUUUUUAACGGGUUUAUUUUUAUGUGAUUGUUUAGUAAUUUGAUAUUGGGUUUUGACACAAAAGAGAGUAACAUUUGGAGUUCUCUGUGGGUUACAGGUCUGAUUUAUUGGUCUUUGUUUCUUGGAUUGUGGGUUUUAAGUCUUUGCUUUAAUUCGACGCCUGUCACCGUGGAACAAAGAAGCAAAAACCAACAGUAAUCAGAUAAGAAUACAUUCCACCAUUGUUUUGUUUAAAUGAAAUGUUUUGUUUUUUUUUGUAGAGGCUAUGGUACACAACGGUAAUGACCUUCUGUUUCCUAACAAUUCUACUCACAGUUAAGAAAAUUGUCAGUUUUUAAAUUUUUUUUAAACCUCAUUUCAGAAAUUUUUCCUAUUCGUUUUCCUCAUUCAGCCAUCCGUGUGAUAUCAGUGGAGGUACGUUCUUUGGUGUCGUCAUGGAUUGGUUGGUUGUAUUUUACUGAUUUUCAGCUUCCAUACAUUUUUGUAGGAAGAGGACGAGGCAAAAACAAGAGAUGACUUACCAUUCUAUGCAAGCUUCAGUGGAGGAAUGCGUCGUUUGAUGAUCGAACUGCUAAUAUCAUUUGUACAAUUGCUUCAGCAGUCAUGCUACCAACUAUUUUUGUCCUGAAAAGAUGCUGGAUGUUCAGGGAUAAUAUCCGUGUUUUCAUUGUGUAAAUCAAACAUGUUUGUUUCUAACGAGAUUGAAGACUUUUCUUAUUCCUAUGAUUUUUUUAACAUGCAGGAAGCCAGGCACCAAUUUCUCUUAGUUUGGGUAUUUUUAGCAUCUUUCAAGAAGAGGAAGAGAAUUUUGUGGAGCUCAAAACUACAAAUGGUACAGUAAGGCACUGCACAAUGUUACCCUUGCCCUUGAUUGUUUUCUUCACUUUGAGGAGAGAAUUCAACUGCUAUAUAUUGAGCGUUUGUGCUUCACCUUCCACCUUUGAUUGAGGAUGGUGACCUAUAAGAAGAGGCGUGGAGCAAAAUCGUCAAAGCUGAAUCAUGGUGUAGCAGCAGCAGUGAUUUGAGAAUUUCCAAUCUUGCUCGCCAAGGGUUAAUUAACUCCUCCCUCUUUAAAUUCUUUGCUUUAGUACCUUUGAAUUCAUUUGGGGUACAUUUUUAUUUUUUUUUUCAGAAAAACUUGAGGUUCAUAGAUGUUUUCAUUGUCAUUUUUCUUUAUCUUUUACAGUUGGUUAUUUUUCAACAUUGUUAUCACACAAUCGCCGACUUUAGAAGAUUCUGUGAACAGUUCUUCAUGUGGUUAGUAGCUGAAUUUGGAAUCGCUUCGCUUCUCUUACAGUGAUGUAUUGUGCCAAACUUUGUGCUACCAAGAAUAGUAGAAAUGUGGUUUCAUGCUUCUCCUGAUUAAAAUGAAUUUUGGACAAGG